AACGAACGCUGGCGGCAUGCCUAACACAUGCAAGUCGAACGAGACCUUCGGGUCUAGUGGCGCACGCGUGCGUAACGCGUGGGAACCUGCCCUUAGGUUCGGAAUAACUCCCCGAAAGGGGUGCUAAUACCGGAUAACGUCUUCGGACCCAAGAUUUAUCGCCUUUGGAUGGGCCCGCGUUGUAUUAGCUAGUUGGUAGGGUAAAAGCCUACCAAGGCGACGAUCCAUAGCUGGUCUGAGAGGAUGAUCAGCCACACUGGGACUGAGACACGGCCCAGACUCUUACGGGAGGCAGCAGUGGGGAAUAUAGGAAAAUGGGCGAAAGCCUGAUCCAGCAAUGCCGCGUGAGUGAUGAAGGUCUUAGAGUUGUAAAGCACUUUUACCCGGGAUGAUAAUGACAGUACCGGGAGAAUAAGCUCCGGCUAACUCCGUG
rnacentral:rRNA from 1 species